CAGAGGGUGCGAGCGUCAAUCGGAAUUACUGGGCGUAAAGCGCGCGUAGGCGGCUUUUCAAGUCGAUUGUGAAAUCCCCGGGCUCAACCUGGGAACUGCAGUCGAGACUGUCUAGCUAGAGUAUGGGAGAGGGAAGUGGAAUUUCAGGUGUAGCGGUGAAAUGCGUAGAUAUCUGAAGGAACAUCAGUGGCGAAAGCGACUUCCUGGACCAAUACUGACGCUCAUGUGCGAAAGCGUGGGGAGCAAACAGGAUUAGAUACCCUGGUAGUCCACGCCAUAAACGAUGAGAACUGGAUGUCGGAGGGGUCUGCCCUUCGGUGUCGUAGCUAACGCGUUAAGUUCUCCGCCUGGGGAGUACGGCCGCAAGGUUG
rnacentral:rRNA from 1 species